ensembl:lncRNA
AAUUUCAUUGUUUCACUCAAUUGAGACUCCUGAAUAAUUCUUAUAAAACUUUCAAUCUACAGUGGAUUUCACAAUUUAUUUGACACAAAUGGCUUCAGAUGCCGUUUUUUAUGUCUCUCACUUUACGAAAGGUGGAUGCCUCCCACCUCUCUUUAGCCAACUCCCUCCCUCCCUCCUUACUCUCACCUCUCGUUAAUCACAGGAAUUGUACAUCAGUGUGGAAAUAAAUAACGCCCCCCCCCCAUCCCCCCCACACACACACACAGCCUCUCCAGGCAAUCCAUCGCCCUUGCUCCAUCAGUCUCUUUCUCCGUCUAGCUGAAGUAACGUCCACAGUCUCUCUCUGUCUCUGUCUCUCGUGUUGUACCUGGCCAGCCUCCCUGGGCUCAAAGGUGUGGAGGAUGAGACGAGGAAAAGACAACACCUCCAUUCAUCUACAUACAAGCUGCAUUACAAGUCAAUUACACUCAUAUUACGUGAGUGUGCCUUCAGCCAGCCAAGCGUCCUCCUCACUCGCCAAACCCAUUCUGCACCGCCCGGCGCCGCCCGUGUCGAGCAUUAUGGAGGCGUGUAAUCUUGUGAUAUUGUGUCGGGAUUAACAUCAAAUCUCAUUAUGGUGUGGCGGAUCAGGAGAGAGGGGGCUUUUUACUUUUUUUUUAGGUUUCUGAAGGUGAGCGAGAAGGAGGGAAGAGAGAUUAAAUCCAUCUUCAUUACACAUGCUGGCAUUUGGGAGGUUUGGGAGUCUGUUGGCAAAUUUACUACGUGGGCCUGAUGAACACACACACACACACAACAACAAACCCAACUGGGGUCAGAAAGAGAUAUGUGGCGGCACAGCACAGUGAAAUAGGACACAAAUCACCCCUCCCCACCCAUCCUCCUCCUCCGCCUCCUCCUCCUCCUUACCACGCCUUGCCCCUCCACACCAACACGCCUCUCCUCUGUGAGCGUUUUCCCUCCAGCCCGCCUCGCCGGCGCUUCAUAAACCUCUCUUUUACUGCCAAUAGAUCCGUGGAGGUUGUAAUUGUGGAAGUGAUAUAUGGCGGCUCGAUUUCGCUGCCAUCUAAAACGCCACCGCCCCAAAGUGGUGUUGGGGGGGUGGAGGGGGGUGGAGAGCCUUCGUCCUGUUAAAUUAAACAGAUUCGGAAGCUAAGUAAGGGGGGCAUAUGUAAACCUAUGUCCCAGAGGGGUGUAUGGGGGAUAACAAUCAGGGGUUUGGACACACACACGCACACACACAAACAAAAGCCAUAGGUUUUAUGCUGUUACGCACACUUAAUCCCCAUGCCCUGCAUUCUGAACAUGCCAACACACAAGGGGAAAACAAACAUUGACUCAAACACAUAUACAAAGCAAAGGCACAAACACACGCACCCCCCCCCCACCAGUGGUCUCACUAAAUCACUCCGAGGCCCCAGCAGAAAUGAGGCAUAACAGCGAGGCAGCGUUACAACCAUUGAUUGCUGAAUGCAUCCAUUUUUUCCCCCUUCACAGCGGGGCGAGGAGUGUGUGUGUGUGUGUGUGUGUGUGUGUGUGUGUGUGUGUGUGUGGGGGCAUGUAUAUCGCUUUACAUAAGCCACUGGUUGAGAAAAUCAUCUCAUGUGACUUGUAUUCUUCCAGACUUUUAUUAAUCCAUUUUGGCAGGUACAGUUUCCUUUGUUCAUUUCAAAAUAUGUUGUUGCAGAUGUUAUCAAAGUGGCGGUUUUCUGAUCCGUAGUGUAGUAACCUCUGGAUACGCGUCAUUCCUCUCCGCGGGAAAACAACAUUCUCUCUGCAAGUUUGACGCUGUCAGUGAGGAGAGUGAGGCCAUAAAAUAAUGCAACGGCUCCUUUGACUUCUCCGACAGGAGAGCUCAACAUGAAGCCAACAGAGGAAAAGACACCUUUAACGACCUCAGGUAGCCAUUUAAAAAACUUUACUUUUAGUUUUCCUGAACUUCCAACUGUUAGCCGGAUCAUUUUCAGGAUGAGAUGACGUAGAUCAGGCUUUUCGGUUCCCCCGAAGCAGGUUUGUCUAAAUCACCACAGCAACACAUCGAAAAGCUUGAACCUGCUCCGGCGUAGGUUCAUCUGAGUUGCUGGAUUAGUUCGUCCCUCCCCUGGAAAAAAGGGCCGCUCACUUCCUCAUUGAAGAAGGAGCGAUAUCAGUUAGAUUAACGUUUUAUAGGGAGAAACUUCUCCGAGAUCACAAAGACCCGUUUAGCUGCGAUGACGUCCUGUACGAGCGCUACAGAUGCUGAGGACAAGGAAUCAUUUAUUUACAAGAUUUACCCGAGCCGAAACGUUACACCACACGCUGCAGCCGAACGUCCACUGUCCCACGGACUGUCUCCCACUGUCUCUCAUACUGUCUCACACACUCUCUCAUGUGUCACACAUUGUCUGACACACUGUCUCUCAUACUGUCCUGUCUGUGCAGUGUUGCGAUGCAGAGAACAUCUGGAAAGCCGCUGUAUGUCGUGCUCUUCAUAAAGUUCUGUUGGUUUAUUUGUCGCUUAAUAAACUUCUGAAUGUUCCACAUUUCACUGCUUCAAUUGAUCAAAUGUCUGAUUAUGAAUAAUGGAUAUAUAAUGAUUCUCUCAUACACAUUCACACAUAAUAAAACUCUUAGUUCUAUAUGGUCAUCUACACAUACAUAUGAUACAUAAGCUGAUACAGUACAUAUAUCCUAUUCAUUUGUAUCAAUUAGAUUCUUUGGGCUUGUUUUCAUCUACAUACUCUGAAAGAGUUGAGAUUAUUCUCAUUGGAUGAUGCAUCUGUGAAACCUCCUGCACGCAGGCACAUUUAAAGAAAUAUAAUCUGAUUGAUUAGAGUGACGAGGCACUUAAAUGAGCCUUUACAUUUUACCAACACGCAUAACGUUAACUUGUCUGCAAAACUUUGUCAGGCUUGUAGCCUCGCGGGGGGGGGGG